AGCAGCCUGAACUGAUUCUACUCUCGCCCUAGUGACCGGAGCAGGAGAGGGAGCCUGGGCCAUCGGCAUCCAUCCACAGAAGGACAGUGAUCGGGGAUGUAGCUCAGCAGGAAAGGUUUUCACCAAGGUCCCGUAUGGCCCUUAGCUGCUGGUCUCUAUGACACGAGUGUACCAUGUGUUAGGAAUCUCA
rnacentral:lncRNA from 1 species